GACGAACGCUGGCGGCGUGCUUAACACAUGCAAGUCGAACGGAAAGGCCCUGCUCUUGUGGGGUGCUCGAGUGGCGAACGGGUGAGUAACACGUGAGUAACCUGCCCUUGACUUUGGGAUAACUUCAGGAAACUGGGGCUAAUACCGGAUAGGAGCUCCUGCUGCAUGGUGGGGGUUGGAAAGAUUCGGCGUUUGGGGAUGGACUCGCGGCUUAUCAGCUUGUUGGUGGGGUAGUGGCUUACCAAGGCUUUGACGGGUAGCCGGCCUGAGAGGGUGACCGGCCACAUUGGGACUGAGGUACGGCCCAGACUCCUACGGGAGGCAGCAGUGGGGAAUAUUGCACAAUGGGCGGGAGCCUGAUGCAGCAACUCCGCGUGCGAGAUGACGGCCUUCGGGUUGUAAACCGCUUUCGCCUGUGACGAAGCGUGAGUGACGGUAAUGGGUAAAGAAGCACCGGCUAACUACGUG
rnacentral:rRNA from 1 species